ensembl:lncRNA LINC02109 long intergenic non-protein coding RNA 2109
AGAGGAAAGGCUGAAGGUUGAGUUGAUUACCAGUAGCUCACGAUAUAAUCAUUCAUGCCUACAUAACACAGCUUUCAUAAGAACCCAAUAGGACAGGGUUCAAGGACCCUCUAAAGAAUGCCACACCUAUAGAGGCAUGGAAACUCUUUGCCACUUUCAUCUGACUAUUGAUCUAUAUCCUUUGUAAUGCCUCUUAUAAGAAAUGGGCAGAUUCUAGCAGUGUUUGUGAGAAAAACUGAUGGAUCCUGCAGAUUAACUAUGGACAGCCAAAUAUUGAGUAAAGUGAUGUCUACAACAGCAUCAGCUAUGCCUGAUAUGGUGUUAAUUCACAUUGUGAAGUUCCAAAAUCAGAAGAUGAUACAGAAAGAUUGCUCUGGUUGCCUGGUUUCUGAAGAAAUCGUGUACCCUGUCUGGAUAGUGUCUUACUUCCUAUCCACAAAGUUGUGAAAUAAUCUGGAAUUAAAUGGCAACCUAAACAACCCUAGAGUUGCCUGAACACAGAGCCAUUGCUGUGUUGAUCAUUAUAGCAGUCCUCAAUAGGAAAAAGAUGCCUCCCUGGUCGACCUUCCUGGAAAGUAUGCAUAUCAUUACUGCUUAGAUUUUGUUGGAGAGAAAUCACACUACCAUCAAAGACAACGGGUCAAAAAGAAUGCCGUCCUAAGCUGAGAAGCCAUCUUCCUAACGACAGCCAUGUAAUAUGAAAGGGAAAAACACACUGUUAUUGAAGAACUUAUCAGCUAUGUCACAUCUUCCACACAAAUACUCAGGAAAGUUAAAAGAAAAUUUUACCUCGGACACAGUUGAUGAUUGCUAAAGUCCUAUUGCAUGCUUUAAGAUGCCUUGCGUUUGGUGAAUUGAAGCCUGAUAUGUCAACAUACUCUCUGUAAACACAGCAGCACAGAGGGCAAAGAAACACUUAUCCAGCACCACAGCUAGGACAAAAGGAAUUAUUUUGACAGUUGGUAUGUACCCAAUUGUGACUAAACCAAAAGAAACAAAUCUGGAAACUGAAGUAUCAAUACGUGAAAAGCGUUCUUUUGGUAUUGGGAGUGCCAGUUGUCUUUGUUUCAUGAACUACUUCUCCGUAAUAGCAUGCAGCCAUCUUCAAGAGGUGAGAAUUUCACUUAGCGACUUAAACAGAAGUGUUAUCUCAAGAUAAUAUAAUAUCUGGAGCACAGAGGAAAGGCCAUACAAACACACAGGGAGAAAGCCACCAUCUGCGAGCAGAGGAGUGGGGCCUCACCAGAAACCAACCCUGCUGGCACCUUGAUCCUGGAAUUCCAGCCUCAGAACUCGGAUAAAAUAAAUUUAUGUGAUUUAU